CCUACGGGUGGCUGCAGUCGAGAAUCAUUCACAAUGGGGGAAACCCUGAUGCUGCGACGCCGCGUGAGGGAAUGAAGGUCUUCGGAUUGUAAACCCCUUUCAUGUGGGAGCAAAUUAAAAAGAUAGUACCACAAGAGGAAGAGACGUCUAACUCUGUGCCAGCAGCCGCGGUAAUACAGAGGUCUCAAUCGUUGUUCGGAAUCACUGGGCGUAAAGCGUGCGUAGGCUGUUUAGUAAGUCGUGUGUGAAAGGCGCGGGCUCAACCCGCGGACGGCACAUGAUACUGCGAGACUAGAGUGAUGGAGGGGGAACCGGAAUUCUUGGUGUAGCAGUGAAAUGCGUAGAUAUCGAGAGGAACACUCGUGGCGAAGGCGGGUUCCUGGACAUUAACUGACGCUGAGGCACGAAGGCCAGGGGAGCGAAAGGGAUUAGAUACCCUGGUAGUC
rnacentral:rRNA from 1 species